rnacentral:tRNA from 10 species
GGCGCUAUCGUCUAGUGGUCCAGGACACAUGGUUCUCAUCCAUGAAACCGGGGUUCGACUCCCCGUAGCGCUACCU